rnacentral:lncRNA from 1 species
CCCCAUUUUAUUAUUAUUAUUAUUAUUAUUAUUAUUUCUAUUAAAUUAAAUUAAUUUAAUUUAAAACCUUAUAAAUUAAUUAUUAAAAUAAAACAAAAUUAGACAAAAUUCCAAUAAAAUUAAAAAAAAUAAAAGAAAAAUUUUUGGGUGUUACAGUUUCACUCCAACCCUCUCUAUAUACCCAUAUAUACAUACACGCCAUAAUUGUUUUUUUUUUUACCUCCAGUUACUACACACACUCUACUCCUCUUACUCAUUUACCCCUACCAUAAUUACCAUAUCGUAUUGAUGAAAAAUUAUCAGCUCUCUUAUGUGGAGUCACCACAUUAAACCACCCUAACAUUUCCAACGUAACUGUCUCCUCGACACUGACGUGACCACUCACCCACACUAUUAUUCCCAGAUAAAACCCCUCAGCCGUCACCAAUAUCGGCAACCCUUUUUUCUCACCACAAGACCCCCAACUGGCUACCCACUCACACCAUUACCGUUUUCUUCCAUCAACAAUAUCGACGACUCAACUUACCCCCAAUUUUCUUCAAUCCUCGGCCUUAAAUUGGCCAUACACUCACACCGUUACCCUACUGGCAGCCCCUUAACCGUCACCAACAUCGGCAAUCCCACUCAUCUUCAGUACCAAACAACCACCAAUAGCCAACAUCAGCAUAUUUAUCCACCCUAACAUACCAUCAGUGGAGUUAUACAAUUUUCACAAUCAUAGUCAAACAUCAUACAUGCAUACAUAUUCAACAAACAUAGAGAACAACUCAUACAGGCAUUCAUAUUCAACAAGCACACAAACUAGCUCAUACUAAUAUCCACACACAUGUAUAAUCAACCGAAUUCUUACGCAUACUCAUCAACUCUAUUCUAUAACAUACAAACACACACACUUCCUCUCACUGAUAUCCUUAUCUUUUAACAACCUCAAUUAUCCGUCUCGGAUUGGACACACACACCCUUCCUGUCACGGUGUAAUUCUCAUUUUUAUCUCCCUCA